rnacentral:rRNA from 1 species
UACGUAGGGGGCAAGCGUUGUCCGGAUUUAUUGGGCGUAAAGCGCGUGUAGGCGGCCACGCAGGUCCGCUGUGAAAACUCGAGGCUCAACCUCGAGCUGUCGGUGGAAACCGCGUGGCUAGAGUCCGGAAGAGGGGACUGGAAUUCCCGGUGUAGCGGUGGAAUGCGCAGAUAUCGGGAGGAACACCCGUGGCGAAGGCGGGUCCCUGGGUUGACAUUGACGCUGAGGCGCGAAAGCGUGGGGAGCAAACAGG